GCUGUGGCAUAGGCUGCAGCUCCAAUUCGACCCCUAGCCUGGGAACUUCCACAUGCGUGGCCCUAAAAAGAAAAAAAUCUGUUUCAUUUUCAGACUCAUUAUAAGCUCACAUGACAGUAGCUGUGUGACAUGCAGAGAAGGCACAUCGAGUCAGUAAAUGUGGGCUAUACACACCGGUAAGAGAAGUCAUAGACAACAGGCUUCAGAAGGGGGAUUACAGUGUCCUGAAAUAAUGAGUCUAAUUUGCCACUGGAACAUGUGAGAAAUCAGGAAGUGCCGGUAUUGAUGCAGGCAAGCUGUCAGAGGAGAUGAGGAAAGUAGAAGCAUAAUGGAGCUGAAGCAGAACAAAUAUACUCUCCAACAGUAUCCUCAAAGUACUGAUUUACACUCAGGUAAGUAUUUUAAAUCAAAUGUUCUAUGUGUCACUAAAAUUUUUAAUAGUUGUAGUAUAUUCUGAACU